rnacentral:snoRNA from 1 species
UAUUAUGAUGAAAACAAGACCUAAUAAGCCAGUUCUGCUUAUGAUACCCUUUUCCUUGGUUGUGAUUAGAAAUGGUCUUUCUUUUCUGAAU